rnacentral:rRNA from 1 species
GGUUAAGCGACUAAGCGUACACGGUGGAUGCCCUGGCAGUCAGAGGCGAUGAAGGACGUGCUAAUCUGCGAAAAGCGUCGGUAAGGUGAUAUGAACCGUUAUAGCCGGCGAUGUCCGAAUGGGGAAACCCAGUGUGAUUCGUCACACUAUCGUUAACUGAAUACAUAGGUUAACGAGGCGAACCGGGGGAACUGAAACAUCUAAGUACCCCGAGGAAAAGAAAUCAACCGAGAUUCCCCCAGUAGCGGCGAGCGAACGGGGAGCAGCCCAGAGUCUGAAUCAGCUUGUGUAUUAGUGGAACGGUCUGGAAAGUCCGACGGUACAGGGUGAUAGUCCCGUACACCAAAAUGCACAGGCUGUGAACUCGAAGAGUAGGGCGGGACACGUGGUAUCCUGUCUGAAUAUGGGGGGACCAUCCUCCAAGGCUAAAUACUCCUGACUGACCGAUAGUAAACCAGUACCGUGAGGGAAAGGCGAAAAGAACCCCGGCGAGGGGAGUGAAAAAGAACCUGAAACCGUGUACGUACAAGCAGUGGGAGCACCUUCGGGUGUGACUGCGUACCUUUUGUAUAAUGGGUCAGCGACUUAUAUUCUGUAGCAAGGUUAACCGUAUAGGGGAGCCGCAGGGAAACCGAGUCUUAACUGGGCGUUAAGUUGCAGGGUAUAGACCCGAAACCCGGUGAUCUAGCCAUGGGCAGGUUGAAGGUUGGGUAACACUAACUGGAGGACCGAACCGACUAAUGUUGAAAAAUUAGCGGAUGACUUGUGGCUGGGGGUGAAAGGCCAAUCAAACCGGGAGAUAGCUGGUUCUCCCCGAAAGCUAUUUAGGUAGCGCCUCGUGAAUUCAUCUUCGGGGGUAGAGCACUGUUUCGGCUAGGGGGUCAUCCCGACUUACCAACCCGAUGCAAACUACGAAUACCGAAGAAUGUUAUCACGGGAGACACACGGCGGGUGCUAACGUCCGUCGUGAAGAGGGAAACAACCCAGACCGCCAGCUAAGGUCCCAAAGUCAUGGUUAAGUGGGAAACGAUGUGGGAAGGCACAGACAGCCAGGAUGUUGGCUUAGAAGCAGCCAUCAUUUAAAGAAAGCGUAAUAGCUCACUGGUCGAGUCGGCCUGCGCGGAAGAUGUAACGGGGCUAAACCAUGCACCGAAGCUGCGGCAGCGACACUAUGUGUUGUUGGGUAGGGGAGCGUUCUGUAAGCCUGCGAAGGUGACCUGUGAGGGUUGCUGGAGGUAUCAGAAGUGCGAAUGCUGACAUAAGUAACGAUAAAGCGGGUGAAAAGCCCGCUCGCCGGAAGACCAAGGGUUCCUGUCCAACGUUAAUCGGGGCAGGGUGAGUCGACCCCUAAGGCGAGGCCGAAAGGCGUAGUCGAUGGGAAACAGGUUAAUAUUCCUGUACUUGGUGUUACUGCGAAGGGGGGACGGAGAAGGCUAUGUUAGCCGGGCGACGGUUGUCCCGGUUUAAGCAUGUAGGCUGGUUGUCCAGGCAAAUCCGGAUAAUCAAGGCUGAGGUGUGAUGACGAGGCACUACGGUGCUGAAGUAACAAAUGCCCUGCUUCCAGGAAAAGCCUCUAAGCAUCAGGUAACAUCAAAUCGUACCCCAAACCGACACAGGUGGUCAGGUAGAGAAUACCAAGGCGCUUGAGAGAACUCGGGUGAAGGAACUAGGCAAAAUGGUGCCGUAACUUCGGGAGAAGGCACGCUGGUGUGUAGGUGAAGUCCCUGCGGAUGGAGCUGAGACCAGUCGAAGAUACCAGCUGGCUGCAACUGUUUAUUAAAAACACAGCACUGUGCAAACACGAAAGUGGACGUAUACGGUGUGACGCCUGCCCGGUGCCGGAAGGUUAAUUGAUGGGGUUAUCCGUAAGGAGAAGCUCUUGAUCGAAGCCCCGGUAAACGGCGGCCGUAACUAUAACGGUCCUAAGGUAGCGAAAUUCCUUGUCGGGUAAGUUCCGACCUGCACGAAUGGCGUAAUGAUGGCCAGGCUGUCUCCACCCGAGACUCAGUGAAAUUGAACUCGCUGUGAAGAUGCAGUGUACCCGCGGCAAGACGGAAAGACCCCGUGAACCUUUACUAUAGCUUGACACUGAACAUUGAGCCUUGAUGUGUAGGAUAGGUGGGAGGCUUUGAAGCGUGGACGCCAGUCUGCGUGGAGCCAACCUUGAAAUACCACCCUUUAAUGUUUGAUGUUCUAACGUUGGCCCCUGACCGGGGUUGCGGACAGUGUCUGGUGGGUAGUUUGACUGGGGCGGUCUCCUCCCAAAGCGUAACGGAGGAGCACGAAGGUUAGCUAAUCCUGGUCGGACAUCAGGAGGUUAGUGCAAUGGCAUAAGCUAGCUUGACUGCGAGCGUGACGGCGCGAGCAGGUGCGAAAGCAGGUCAUAGUGAUCCGGUGGUUCUGAAUGGAAGGGCCAUCGCUCAACGGAUAAAAGGUACUCCGGGGAUAACAGGCUGAUACCGCCCAAGAGUUCAUAUCGACGGCGGUGUUUGGCACCUCGAUGUCGGCUCAUCACAUCCUGGGGCUGAAGUAGGUCCCAAGGGUAUGGCUGUUCGCCAUUUAAAGUGGUACGCGAGCUGGGUUUAGAACGUCGUGAGACAGUUCGGUCCCUAUCUGCCGUGGGCGCUGGAGAAUUGAGGGGGGCUGCUCCUAGUACGAGAGGACCGGAGUGGACGCAUCACUGGUGUUCGGGUUGUCAUGCCAAUGGCACUGCCCGGUAGCUAAAUGCGGAAGAGAUAAGUGCUGAAAGCAUCUAAGCACGAAACUUGCCCCGAGAUGAGUUCUCCCUGAGACUUUAAGUCUCCUGAAGGAACGUUGAAGACGACGACGUUGAUAGGCCGGGUGUGUAAGCGCAGCGAUGCGUUGAGCUAACCGGUACUAAUGAACCGUGAGGCUUAACCUU